ACGAACGCUGGCGGCGUGCUUCACACAUGCAAGUCGAACGGAAAGGCCCUGCUUUUGUGGGGUGCUCGAGUGGCGAACGGGUGAGUAACACGUGAGUAACCUGCCCUUGACUUUGGGAUAACUUCAGGAAACUGGGGCUAAUACCGGAUAGGAGCUCCUGCUGCAUGGUGGGGGUUGGAAAGUUUCGGCGGUUGGGGAUGGACUCGCGGCUUAUCAGCUUGUUGGUGGGGUAGUGGCUUACCAAGGCUUUGACGGGUAGCCGGCCUGAGAGGGUGACCGGCCACAUUGGGACUGAGAUACGGCCCAGACUCCUACGGGAGGCAGCAGUGGGGAAUAUCGCACAAUGGGCGGAAGCCUGAUGCAGCAACGCCGCGUGCGGGAUGACGGCCUUCGGGUUGUAAACCGCUUUCGCCUGUGACGAAGCGUGAGUGACGGUAAUGGGUAAAGAAGCACCGGCUAACUACGUG
rnacentral:rRNA from 1 species